GGAAUAUUGGACAAUGGGCGGAAGCCUGAUCCAGCCAUGCCGCGUGCAGGAAGACGGCCCUAUGGGUUGUAAACUGCUUUUAUACGGGAAGAAACACCCCCUCGUGAGGGGGCUUGACGGUACCGUAGGAAUAAGGACCGGCUAACUCCGUGCCAGCAGCCGCGGUAAUACGGAGGAUCCAAGCGUUAUCCGGAAUCAUUGGGUUUAAAGGGUCCGUAGGUGGAUGGUUAAGUCAGGGGUGAAAGUCUGCAGCUCAACUGUAGAAUUGCCCUUGAUACUGGCUAUCUUGAAUCAUUGUGAAGUGGUUAGAAUAUGUAGUGCAGCGGUGAAAUGCAUAGAUAUUACAUAGAAUACCGAUUGCGAAGGCAGAUCACUAACAAUGUAUUGACACUGAUGGACGAAAGCGUGGGUAGCGAA
rnacentral:rRNA from 1 species